UUUAUCUAAAAGUUUUAAACUCAGGAUAUAUAGAAAUUUUAAUAAUUUUUAAUUUUUAUUAUAAAAACACUUUUCAAGGAAAGUAACCUUAUAAGAAACCGCCAAAAUCCCAACAGAAAGAGUACCGCAAGGGAACAGUGAAAUAAUAAUCAACAAAAAAACCAAAAAUAGGAAAGAUAAAAUCUUUUACCUCGUGUAUAAUGGAUAAACAAGAAAAAAGAAAAAGUUCUAAACCCGAAAUCGAGUGAGCUAACCCUCGCUUCUAUUUAGAAGAUAUCCUCUACUGUUGCAAUAGUAGAACAAAAGCGAGGGUUAGUUGUUAUAUGCUAACCGCACUCGGAGAUAGCUGGUUCCUCGGUAAACUAGUCUAAGCUAGGCCCUUUUUAUUCUGUGAAGAAAGAAGUUAAUUUUUAUAAAUCAAGACUCAACAAACCGAAAAUAAAGUGGUCAGAGUAAAAAGGACAAGCUUUUUACUCAAAAUGGAAAACCCCAACGGAUUUAGUUAAAGCCAAUAAUAUAUUAAAAUAACCCGACUAACUAUUAGUAGGCCUAAAAGCAGCCGACUAAUUAUAAAGCGUUAAAGCUAAUUUACAAAAACGGGUUAGAAAAUUUUUGAUUUUUAAGCUAAAACUAAAAAUAACUAACGAGGCCCUCUAUUAUUAGAGAUGAUAAUGUUUAUAUAAGUAAAACAACCUCCGGUUGGCCUUAUUCAAUCUUAACCAUGGAAGAAAAAUAUUCUAACUAGAAAUAAGAUUUUUCUUAAUUGUCUUCCACCACAGGAGGAGGUAUCAAAUAAAUUAAAAGAGAAGAAGGAACUCGGCAAACAAAAGCUUCGCCUGUUUACCAAAAACAUCGCUCCCUGGUAAAUCAACAUAGGGAGUCCUGCCUGCCCAGUGACAGAAAGUUAAACGGCCGCGGUAUCUUGACCGUGCGAAGGUAGCAUAAUCAUUUGUCUCCUAAAUAGAGACUGGUAUGAAUGGCAAGACGGAGCUUUACUGUCUCCUUCUCUUAAAUUAGAAUUUCACACUCCCGUGAAGAGGCGGGAAUUAGUUCGUAAGACGAGAAGACCCUGUCGAGCUGUAGUAAAAUUUUAACUGUUGAUAAUUAUCAACCCUAACUAAUACGUAACACUAGUAAGCUAGAAAGUAGCAGAUUAAAAUAAACUUUGAUUGGGGCAAUCCCGGAGAAAGAAUAUCCUCCGGUACUAUAUAGUCUAGUUCGGACUAAAUUAAAAGAGUUAUAACUCUAUAAUCUAAAAAGAAGGUGUGAUCCACUCACAGUGAUCAAAAGAACAAGUUACCGCAGGGAUAACAGCGUUAUCUUUUCUGAGAGUCCAUAUUGACGAAAAGGUUUGCGACCUCGAUGUUGGAUCGGGACAUCCUAAGGGUGCAGAAGCUUUUAAGGGUUGGUCUGUUCGACCAUUAAAGUCCUACGUGAUCUGAGUUCAGACCGGCGAGAGCCAGGUCAGUUUCUAUCUACGAACUUCUCUUUCUUAGUACGAAAGGACCAGAAAGGGCGUGUCCCUGCGUUAAGACGUAAACACCAAAAGUUAAAAAC
rnacentral:rRNA from 1 species